rnacentral:rRNA from 1 species
AUGAACGCUGGCGGCGUGCCUAAUACCUGCAAGUCGAGCGAACAGACGAGGAGCUUGCUCCUCUGACGUUAGCGGCGGACGGGUGAGUAACACGUGGAUAACCUACCUAUAAGACUGGGAUAACUUCGGGAAACCGGAGCUAAUACCGGAUAAUGUAUUGAACCGCAUGGUUCAAUAGUGAAAGACGGUUUUGCUGUCACUUAUAGAUGGAUCCGCGCCGCAUUAGCCAGUUGGUAAGGUAACGGCUUACCAAGGCAACGAUGCGUAGCCGACCUGAGAGGGUGAUCGGCCACACUGGAACUGAGACACGGUCCAGACUCCUACGGGAGGCAGCAGUAGGGAAUCUUCCGCAAUGGGCGAAAGCCUGACGGAGCAACGCCGCGUGAGUGAUGAAGGUCUUCGGAUCGUAAAACUCUGUUAUUAGGGAAGAACAAAUGUGUAAGUAACUAUGCACGUCUUGACGGUACCUAAUCAGAAAGCCACGGCUAACUACGUG